rnacentral:rRNA from 1 species
GGAUAUUCCGCAAGGAAGGCAAACCCGGGGAACUGAAACAUCUAAGUACCCGGAGGAAGAGAAAACAACAGUGAUUCCGAGAGUAGUGGCGAGCGAAAUUGGAACAGCCCAAACCGAUGCUGUUACGGCAGCGUCGGGGUUAUAGGACCGACAUAAAUUAUGAUCAAGAGACAGGAAAUGUUUGGGAAGGCAUAUCGUAGAGGGUGACAAUCCCGUACUGGAAUUUUGAUUAUGGUGGUUGGUAUCCUGAGUAGGUCGGGACAGGAGAAAUCCCGAUUGAAUUAUCCGGCACCAUCCGGAAAGGCUAAAUACUCCUGAGAGACCGAUAGUGAACAAGUACCGUGAGGGAAAGGUGAAAAGUACCGUGAAUAACGGGGUGAAAUAGAACCUGAAACCGUGCGCUUACAAGCGGUCGGAGCUACUAAGUGUAGUGACGGCGUGCCUUUUGCAUAAUGAGCCUACGAGUUACUCGUCACUGGCGAGGAUAAGGAAUUAAGUUCUGUAUCCGGAGCGAAAGCGAGUCUGAAUAGGGCGCUUAGUCAGUGGCGGUAGACGCGAAACUUUGUGAUCUACCCAUGGACAGGUUGAAGUACUGGUAACACAGUAUGGAGGACCGAACCGAUAAACGUUGAAAAGUUUCCGGAUGAUCUGUGGGUAGGGGUGAAAGGCCAAUCAAACUGAGAAAUAGCUCGUACUCCCCGAAAUGUUUUUAGGAACAGCGUCGUGGAAUGUAUGUCGGAGGUAGAGCUACCGAUAGGACUAGGGGGAGUCAUAUCCUACCAAAUCCUGACGAACUCCGAAUGCCGACAUACAGUAACGGCAGUGAGGGCUUGGGUGCUAAGGUCCGAGUCCGAGAGGGAAAGAACCCAGACCUACCGCUAAGGUCCCAAAAUUUACACUAAGUUGAACAAAGGUGGUCCAGCUGCAGAGACAGCCAGGAGGUUAGCUUGGAAGCAGCUAUUCCUUUAAAGAGUGCGUAACAGCUCACUGGUCGAGCGGCAGGGCGUCGAUAAUAAUCGGGCAUCAAGUGUAAUACCGAAGCGUAGGAUUGAUACCAAGUAUCAGUGGUAGGGGAGCAUUCCAAUAGCAGAGAAGGUGCAUGGCGAUGUGCAUUGGAGCGAUUGGAAAAGCAAAUGUAGGCAUAAGUAACGAUAAUGCGGGCGAGAAACCCGCACACCGAUAGACCAAGGUUUCCUGAUCAACGCUAAUCGGAUCAGGGUCAGUCGGGACCUAAGGCGAAGCCGAACGGCGUAGUCGAUGGCAAAUGGGUUAAUAUUCCCAUACUUGAUAUACAGGUGAUGGAGUGACGGAGUGAUGAAAGACACGCCCGGUGACGGAAUACCGGGUUAAAGC